UCUUCCCAACAGUAUGGUUUAUUUGUCUGCUGAAGACUAACACCAAUCAGAAAGCGUGACUACCUGUUUAUUUAUAUGGAUUUGGAAAAUCACAUUAGUAGGAGGAGUCACAUUAUGCUAUUGCAUCAAAAAGAAAUCAACCCCGCUUCAUAACAUAAGGUUUUACAUAUUAAACAAACUACAGUGAAAUAAACUUAAAAUAGUAUAGGACAUUAGAGCACUGUCCCCU